GACCUUCGGCUUAACCGGAGAAGUGCAUCGGAAACUAGGAUAACUUGAGUGCAGAAGAGGGUAGGUGGAACUCCAUGUGUAGCGGUGGAAUGCGUAGAUAUAUGGAAGAACACCAGUGGCGAAGGCGGCUACCUGGUCUGCAACUGACGCUGAGACUCGAAAAGCAUGGGGUAGCGAAACAGGAUUAGAUACCCUGGUAG
rnacentral:rRNA from 1 species